CGGGUCAUCAAAGAUUUCCUAAAC
rnacentral:siRNA from 1 species